GAUUUAGAGAGGACUCAGAAGCGAGGAUGACAAUCACAGCUCCUUUAAUAACAAAUGGCAGGAUGACCACAGGCAAAGAUGAGCAGAGAGCUGGAGCAGUAGGGACCCAGAAACCCUCAGGGCCGGGAUAGCGAGCAAUGAAGAAGGAACACAGCCUCAGACUCCUAGCAGACAGGACUGGACUGGACUCAGACAGAUGCACGCAUCGAAACUUACGAACAAACUGACAACAAGACAAGGAAGAGAAGGUAAGAAAAAGCCAAGAUAAUGAGGGGGGGAACGAGAGACAGGUGAAGAGAGAUGAGCCUAAUGAAAAGUGAUAACAGCUGUCAGUAAUGAAAGUGAAAGCGGCAAGUGAGUGAGUGAACGAAUAACCAGCAGGGGGAGACAGAGAACGAGCCAGGAUCAUGACAGUACCCCCUCCUCAAAGAGCGCCACCUGGCGCUCCCUAGGAGGAACCCUGGCGAGACCGGAGGAAAUCAUCAAUGAGCGAGGGGUCCAGGAUGUCCCGGGGGGAAACCCAGCUUCUCUCCUCAGGCCCGUACCCCUCCCAAUCGACCAGGUACUGAUGUCCUCGACCCCGACGACGCAUAUCCAAGAUCUUACGGACAGUAUAGACAGGAGAAUCCUCCACACGGACUGCCGAGAACGCGGUACGAGAAGUCGAGCGAUUGACGGGCUUAACGCAGGAGACGUGGAAA